GCGUCGAUAUCUCUUAGUGUUU
rnacentral:miRNA from 1 species